CUCAUAGCGAGUUCGAUCUUGGCUCAGGAUAAACGCUGGUGAAAUGCUUAACACAUGCAAGUUGGACGGAAAAUGGUGUUUCCAAUGGCAAACAGGUGAGUAACGUGUAAGAACUUACCUUUGGGAGGGGAACAAUAGUUGCAAACGAUUGCUAAUACCCCGUAAGCUGAGGAGCAAAAGGAGGGAUCCGUUUGAGGAAGGGCUCGCAUUUGACAGCUAGUUGGUGAGGCAAUAGCUUACCAAGGCGAUAUCAGUAGCUGGUCUGAGAGGAUGAUUAGCCACACUGGGACUGAGACACGACCUAGACUCUUACGGGAGGCAGUAGUAGGGAAUUUUUCGCAAUGGGCAAAAACUUGACGGAGCAAUACUGUGUGGAGGUAGAAGGCUCAAAGGUCAUGAACUUCUUUUCUCGGAAAAGAAGCAACAAUAGUAUCUGAGGAAUAAACAAUAGCAAACUUUGUGCCAACAGCCACGGUAAUAUAGAAGAUGCAAGCGUUACUCGAAAUAAUUGGGUGUAAAACAUAUGUAAAUGACUUUUUAAUAUGUUACAUCCUAAUCAAUUUUCUA
rnacentral:ncRNA from 1 species